rnacentral:rRNA from 1 species
GACGAACGCUGGCGGCGUGCUUAACACAUGCAAGUCGAACGGAAGGGCCCUGCUUUUGUGGGUUGCUCGAGUGGCGCACGGGUGAGUAACACGUGAGUAACCUGCCCUUGACUUUGGGAUAACUUCAGGGAACUGGGGCUCAUACAGGAUAGGAGCUCCUGCUGCGUGGUGGGGGUUGGAAAGUUUCGGCGGUUGGGGAUGGACUCGCGGGUUCUCCGCUUGUUGGUGGGGUAGUGGCUUACCAAGGCUUUGACGGGUAGCCGGCCUGAGAGGGUGACCGGCGACAUUGGGACUGAGAUACGGCCCAGACUCCUACGGGAGGCAGCAGUGGGGAAUAUUGCACAAUGGGCGGAAGCCUGAUGCAGCAACGCCGCGUGCGGGAUGACGGCCUUCGGGUUGUAAACCGCUUUCGCCUGUGACGAAGCGUGAGUGACGGUAAUGGGUAAAGAAGCACCGGCUAACUACGUG